rnacentral:rRNA from 1 species
CCUACGGGAGGCAGCAGUAGGGAAUAUUGCUCAAUGGGCGAAACCCUGAAGCAGCAACGCCGCGUGCAGGAUGACGGUUCUCGGAUUUUUAACUCCUUUUGUUAGAGAAGUUAAUGACCUUACCUAUCGAAUAUUCACCGGCUAACUCCGUGCCAGCAGCCCCGGUACCACGGAGGGUGCCAGCGUUACUCGGAAUCACUGGGCGUAAAGCGCGCGUAGGCGGGAUAGCAAGUCAGAUGUGAAAUGCUAGGGCUUAACCAGAGAACUGCAUUGGAAACUGUUGUUCUAGAGUAUGGGGAAGGUAGGUGGAAUUCUUGGUGUAGGGGUAAAAUCCGUAGAGAUGAAGAAGAAUACUGAUUGCGAAGGCGGCCUGCUAGAACAGAACUGACGCUGAUGCGCGAAAGCGUGGGUAGCGAACAGGAUUAGAUACCCCAGUAGUC